rnacentral:rRNA from 1 species
GGUUUGAUCCUGGCUCAGAUUGAACGCUGGCAGGAUGCUUUACACGCUUUAUGCAAGUCGGAACAGCAGCACGGACUUCGGUCUGGUGGCGAGUGGCGAACGGGUGAGUAAUGUAUCAGGAACGUGCCCAAAAUGGCGGGGGAUAGCGCUACGCGAAAGCGUAGCUAAUACCACUAUACGCCCUUCGGGGAAAGCGGGGGACCUUCGAAGACUCGCACUAUUGAAACGGCCGAUAUCGGAUUAGCUAGUUGUUGGGAGUAACGGCUCACCAAGGCGACGAUCCGUAGCUGGUUUGAGAGGACGACCAGCCACACUGGGACUGAGACGUAGCCCAGACUCCUACGGAGAGGCAGCAGUGAAAUUUUGGACAAUGGAAACCUGAUCCAGCCAUCCCGCGUGUGCGAUGAAGGCCUUCGGGUUUGUAAAGCACUUUUGGCAGGAAAAAGAGCGGCACGGGAUAAUACCCCGUGCAGCUGGUGGCUGCAGAAUAAGCACCGGCUAACUACGUGCCAGCAGCCGCGGUAAUACGUAAGUGCAAGCGUUAAUCAAGAUUACUGGGCGUAAAGCGUGCGCAGGCGGUUCGGAAAAGAAAGAUGUGAAAUCCAAGAGCUUAACUUUGUUUCAUUUUUAACUACCGAGCUGUAGAGUGUGUCAGGGAGGUGGGAAUUCCGCGAUGUAGCAGUGAAAUGCGUAGAUAUGCGGGAGGAACACCGAUAGCGAAACAGCCUCCUGGGAUAACUGACGCUCAUGCACAGCGUGGGGAGCAAACAGGAUUAGAUACUACAAUGCAGUCCACGCCCUAAACGAUGUCAACUAGCUGUUGAGGCCUUCGAGGCCUUGGUAAUACAGCUAACGCGUGUUGACCGCCUGGGAAGUACGGUCGCAGUUAAAACUCAAAGGAAUUGACGGGGACCCGCACAAGCGGUGGAUGAUGUGGAUUAUUCGAUGCAACGCGAAAAACAUACCUACCCUUGACAUGUCUGGAAUCGAAGAGAUUUGGGAGUGCUCGCAAGAGAGCCGGAACACAGGUGCUGCAUGGCUGUCGUCAGCUCGUGUCGUGAGAUGGUAUGGUUAAGUCCACGCAACGAGCGCAGCCUUGUCAUUGGUGCGCUGAAAAGGGCGUCUAAUGAGACUGCCGGUGACAAACCGGAGGAAGGUGGGGAUGACGUCAAGUCCUCAUGGCCUGGCCCUUAUGGUGGGCUACGUCAUACAAUGGUCAGGACAAGGGUCGCCAACCCGCGAGAGGCCAAUCCCAGAAACCCGAUCGUAGUCCGGAUCAUGAUGUGGCUCGGCUAAGUCGAGAAUCGCUGGUAAUCGAGGAUCAGCAUGUCGCGGUGAAUACGUUCAGGUCUUGUACACCGCCCGUCUUCAUGGGAGUGGGUUUGCCAGUAGUUAGCCUAACCUUAAGGAGGGCGAUUACCACGGUAGGAUUCGCUGACUGGGGUGAAGUCGUAACAAGGUAG